UGGGGAAUAUUGGACAAUGGGCGCAAGCCUGAUCCAGCCAUGCCGCGUGAGUGAUGAAGGCCUUAGGGUUGUAAAGCUCUUUUGUGUGGGAAGAUAAUGACUGUACCACAAGAAUAAGCCCCGGCUAACUUCGUGCCAGCAGCCGCGGUAAUACGAAGGGGGCUAGCGUUGUUCGGAUUUACUGGGCGUAAAGCGCACGUAGGCGGAUCUUUAAGUCAGGGGUGAAAUCCCGAAGCUCAACUUCGGAACUGCCUUUGAUACUGGGGAUCUUGAGUUCGAGAGAGGUGAGUGGAACUGCGAGUGUAGAGGUGAAAUUCGUAGAUAUUCGCAAGAACACCAGUGGCGAAGGCGGCUCACUGGCUCGAUACUGACGCUGAGGUGCGAAAGCGUGGGGAGCAAACA
rnacentral:rRNA from 1 species